CCUACGGGAGACAGCAGUGGGGAAUAUUGGGCAAUGGGCGCAAGCCUGACCCAGCAACGCCGCGUGAAGGAAGAAGGCUUUCUGGUUGUAAACUUCUUUUCUGGGGGACGAACAAUUGACGGUACCCCAGGAAUAAGCCACGGCUAACUACGUGCCAUCAGCCGCGGGAAUACGUAGGUGGCAAGCGUUAUCCGGAUUUAUUGGGUGUAAAGGGCGUGUAGGCGGGAAUGCAAGUCAGAUGUGAAAACUCAGGGCUCAACCCUGAGCCUGCAUUUGAAACUGUGUUUCUGGAGUGCGGGAGAGGCAAUCGGAAUGCCGGGUGUAGCGGUGAAAUGCGUAGAUAUACGGAGGAACACCAGUGGCGAAGGCGGAUUGCUGGACAGUAACUGACGCUGAGGCGCGAAAGCGUGGGGAGCGAACAGGAUUAGAUACCCUUGUAGUC
rnacentral:rRNA from 1 species